GGCAUUAUAGUGUAGUGGUUAUCACAGCGGAUUCUGAUUCCGUUAACCCAGGUUCGAGUCCUGGUAACGCCU
rnacentral:tRNA from 1 species